rnacentral:rRNA from 1 species
ACGAACGCUGGCGGCGUGCUUAACACAUGCAAGUCGAACGGUGAAGCGAGUGCUUGCACUCGUGGAUCAGUGGCGAACGGGUGAGUAACACGUGAGUAACCUGCCCAUCACUCUGGGAUAAGCACUGGAAACGGUGUCUAAUACUGGAUACGACCAACCCUUGCAUGGGGUGUUGGUGGAAAGAUUUAUCGGUGAUGGAUGGACUCGCGGCCUAUCAGCUUGUUGGCGGGGUAAUGGCCCACCAAGGCGACGACGGGUAGCCGGCCUGAGAGGGUGACCGGCCACACUGGGACUGAGACACGGCCCAGACUCCUACGGGAGGCAGCAGUGGGGAAUAUUGCACAAUGGGCGAAAGCCCGAUGCAGCGACGCCGCGUGAGGGAUGACGGCCUUCGGGUUGUAAACCUCUUUCAGCAGGGAAGAAGCGAAAGUGACGGUACCUGCAGAAGAAGCACCGGCUAACUACGUG